rnacentral:tRNA from 1 species
GCCCUUAUAGCUCAGCAGGAAGAGCAGCUGAUUUGUAAUCAGCCGGUCCUGGGUUCGAAUCCUAGUGGGGGCCCCA